UGGGGGAAUAUUGCACAAUGGAGGAAACUCUGAUGCAGCAACGCCGCGUGAGUGAAGAAGUAUCUCGGUAUGUAAAGCUCUAUCAGCAGGGAAGAAAAUGACGGUACCUGACUAAGAAGCCCCGGCUAACUACGUGCCAGCAGCCGCGGUAAUACGUAGGGGGGCAAGCGUUAUCCGGAUUUACUGGGUGUAAAGGGAGCGUAGACGGCUUUGCAAGCCAGAUGUGAAAGCCCGGGGCUCAACCCCGGGACUGCAUUUGGAACUGUAAUGCUAGAGUGUCGGAGAGGCAAGUGGAAUUCCUAGUGUAGCGGUGAAAUGCGUAGAUAUUAGGAGGAACACCAGUGGCGAAGGCGGCUUGCUGGACGAUGACUGACGUUGAGGCUCG
rnacentral:rRNA from 1 species